UUACUGCCCGGACCGGGGAGCUGGAGACAUGACAUGGGGUUUCAUGCUGCUGUCUCUUUACAAACCUUUGCAGACCUGAGGAAUUGCCAAAGAUAGUUGUUGAAGACAUCGCUAUUUAAAACACAAAGCACAACCCUGAUGUGCCUUCAUAUAUAGCGUAUAUGGCUAAAAAUAUGUGGACCCCCUACUAAUUGUUGAGUUAAGGUAUUUCAACCUCACACAUUGCUAACAAGUUACUACAUCUGAACUGCUCAACUGUAUGUGCGCUCAUUGGGAUGCUACAAAUCCUAG